rnacentral:rRNA from 1 species
ACGGAGGGUGCAAGCGUUAUCCGGAUUCACUGGGUUUAAAGGGUGCGUAGGUGGGCAUGUAAGUCAGAGGUGAAAUCCCCGAGCUUAACUUGGGAACUGCCUUUGAUACUAUGUGUCUUGAAUAUCGUGGAGGUAAGCGGAAUAUGUCAUGUAGCGGUGAAAUGCAUAGAGAUGACAUAGAACACCAAUUGCGAAGGCAGCUUGCUACACGAUGAUUGACACUGAGGCACGAAAGCGUGGGGAGCAAACAGGAUUAGAUACCCUGGUAGUCCACGCCCUAAACUAUGGAUACUCGACAUCAGCGAUACACAGUUGGUGUCUGAGCGAAAGCAUUAAGUAUCCCACCUGGGAAGUACGAUCGCAAGAUUG